rnacentral:lncRNA from 10 species
UGGUGCCUGCCCCAGCUCCUGUCCCGAGACGUGGCUGAAGGAUGUCAGCAUUCAGAACUGUGUCCCAGGAUCGUGGCCCAGACCCACAGGGCAGGGGCGUGCACUUUUGAGGGUUCUGAAGACGACUCAACAGGGUGCCUGACCUGCUGGUAAGGACUCAGGAGACCUCACCUGUCCUCGUCACACUCAUGGAAGGGGACUCCAGAUCCCUGGCGUAGCUGGUCUGGGAACUGGGGAGGGAUGGGCAGUGCCCGGUAUAGGGUGCAACCUCCAGUGCCCACAUUAGCACGUCUGUUGCUGUGAGAUUCUAUCCUGUGGACACCUGUGGCUGUAACACACACCUUCC